rnacentral:rRNA from 1 species
AGAGCGAACGCUGGCGGCAGGCCUAAAACAUGCAAGUCGAACGAGCCCUUCGGGGUUAGUGGCGGACGGGUGAGUAACACGUGGGAACGUGCCUUUUGGUUCGGAACAACUCAGGGAAACUUGAGCUAAUACCGAAUAAGCCCUACGGGGGAAAGAUUUAUCGCCAUUAGAGCGGCCCGCGUCUGAUUAGCUUGUUGGUGAGGUAAAGGCUCACCAAGGCUACGAUCAGUAGCUGGUCUGAGAGGAUGAUCAGCCACACUGGGACUGAGACACGGCCCAGACUCCUACGGGAGGCAGCAGUUAGGAAUCUUGCGCAAUGGGCGAAAGCCUGACGCAGCCAUGCCGCGUGAAUGAUGAAGGUCUUAGGAUUGUAAAAUUCUUUCAGUGGGGAAGAUAAUGACGGUACCCACAGAAGAAGCUCCGGCUAACUUCGUGCCAGCAGCCGC